rnacentral:rRNA from 1 species
GUGAGUAGUUCAGAGUUUGAUCCUGGCUCAGGAUGAACGCUGGCGGCGUGCCUAACACAUGCAAGUCGAACGGAGAUUGCUAAGCAGAGACUUCGGUCAAAACUUUUUUAAUCUUAGUGGCGGACGGGUGAGUAACGCGUGGGUAACCUGCCUUAUACAGGGGGAUAACAAUCAGAAAUGAUUGCUAAUACCGCAUAAGCGCACAUGACCGCAUGGUCAAGUGUGAAAAACUCCGGUGGUAUAAGAUGGACCCGCGUUGGAUUAGCUAGUUGGUGAGGUAGAGGCUCACCAAGGCGACGAUCCAUAGCCGGCCUGAGAGGGUGAACGGCCACAUUGGGACUGAGACACGGCCCAG